CAGCACAGGAGCAAAUCGUUGCCCCAGCGCCUAGAUCCAUCUGUGCCUGAGCGUGGCACAGGUGGGGUUUCCAGGCACAGGAGCCAACACAGCUCGGUUUUUUUGCCCAAGUCCGUCUGCAUCCAUCAGGCUCCUGUGCCUUGUAACCAGAGGAGCCCUGGCUGAUGUCGGAAGAAGGAGGAAGGGGUGAAGGGUGAAAACACCAGUGCCGUCUGUUGUCACCCUGCUGUGUGAGCCUUCCCAUGAGCUGCAUUUAAGAACUUGCACUUUCACCUUGUUGGCCCCAAAUCGCCGAUACGGCCACCACGCUGCCAGGUGAUCAAAAUAUCCACCUCAUCCUAAGUUCCCCUUUCAUGGAAUGAAGAAAUAUGAGGCUGGAGGUAGUCCUAUCCCUUGAUCCGGCCCAUAGCCCGGGGCACUGAGAGAUGAUGGACGCUCAGAGGGCAGAGCUCUUCUCCUCCUCCGUGCCUGGAACCCUUUUGGAUUUCUGGGAAUCUCCUUUGAGACCACAGCUGUUCUAGGAUGAGGCAACCUAUGAGAACUGUUGGCUGCUGACCUCGUCAUUGUUGGCUGCCAGGUGAGCAGACAUGGGCAGGGACCCAGGGGGCGGGGCUGGGCCCAGGGAGGAGCUGGCAGAGCUGGGCAGGGCAGGGCCGGAGAGCGGGCUCCAACUCUGGAUGCAGAGGUGGCCCGUGGCCCCGGCUGGCCAGCGAGAGCACCAGGGUCCCGUGGAUGCGGCGAUGACUCAGGAGUGGACACGUGAUAUUGGCCGGUCCAGUGGGAGGAAAUUGCAAGCCGUUGUCUGGAAUGGUAGGAAAAAGAAGAGUGCUGAGGUCAUAAGUGAGAAGCUGAGGCCUGGCGAUGGCUGCAGGCUGUCUCUGCCCCCACGGGGAGGGCCGACCCAGGGGUGCAGCCGGCACAACAAGCCAGAACCACGAGACAGAUGUAGAUUCUAGAAGGACUUCCUUCAACACCCACAUCCACCUGGGCCCAGAGUCUCUGACUUCCAAUGGCUUGGACUUCUCUCCUGUGCUGUAAAGCCAGUCUGGGUUGGGUCUCUGACCCUGGCUCCUGAGAGGAUGCAGGGAAGAGGAGAGCUGACUCAGCUCAGGAACCAGAGUGAGGUCUGCAGACCCUGCGACAGCUGUGUCCAGAGGGAGCAGAGGGCUCUGUGCAGGUGCGGGAGCAUUGCUGUAUUUGCCCAGCUGCCAGGUAAAGGAGGGGCAGCCCUGAGUAGUUCCAGAGACCAAGGGUGGACCGAACGCGCACGCACAUUCAUGAGAGCCAUGCAACGAUUUGCUUGGGUGGCUGCGUGAACCUAUGGGCACAGGUCCACAGAUACCCUGCAGAAACGCACACACACAAAUACAUCUCAAACAGUUUAAAAAUGUGCAGCCAAAAAAAAAAAGUACACACCCUCUGACCUAGGAAUUCCACUUCUCGGAAAAUGCCCUAAGGACAGAAUAAAGGACGUGUGCCAAGACCUAGCUUCAUGGAAUUUCCCUGCAGUGCAGCUUGUAAUAACUAAAAGUUGGCAACAAUCUGGAUCCCAAUAGGGAGUGGUUAAAUCCGCCGCAGCAGGAGAGCACAGCAGCAUGCUUGUCAGGCCCCAAAGAGAACCGCAGAGCUGUUUGCUUACAUGGGACGAUGAGUGCCAUUUGCUGUUGAGUGAAAAAAAGCAGCUUGAAAAUAGUCUGAGUCCUAUGAACCCAUUUGGGUAAAAAAGAAGUCAGAAUGAGCAUGGAAAAGAGUCGGUGUAGCUGAGGUUGUUCCUUCGUUGCUGGGAUUGUAGCAUUCUUCCUAUUCCUGUAGGAAUCGAGUGUUGAUCUGUGGGUGGGAAAAAACAAACUUGAUUUUGAAAAGGAAUAUGAAUUCUAUACAUGCAUAUGUUCCAUGUGUGAAAAUGAGGUACGUAUAAAGAUUGAGAUUGCAGCGUUACUCAUAAGAGCAUAAGGUCGGACACAACCUGCCUGUCCAGCAGUAGGGGAUUGAUGAGAGAGCUCAAGGCGCAGUUGUUCAACGGGAUGACGAUGGUGCCAUUACAAAGCUGAGGAACCUCCAGAUAAGCUCCGAUCAGGAAGAGUCUUCAAGAUACAGAUCGUCUUCCCAGUCCCUGCCUGCCGAGUCCUCUUCACUCCGCUGCUCUGCCUGGCGUCCAUCUGUGAUCUGGUUGUCUGUGUAUUGGUGGUCUCCUGCCCUGGGCCACAGGCUGCACGGGGGCAGGGCCGGGCCACGCUGUCCUUGCUGUAUCCCCAGCACCUGACACCUGCUGC
rnacentral:lncRNA from 1 species